ACCCCCACGUCCCCACCCAAAAAAUCCUCAUUAAUCUCUCUCUGUUUUGCAAACUUAAUUCUUAUUCAAUUUGAAGGAUAAAAAUAACUGCUCUAAAACAACAACUCUACUUGUCAUCUCCGAUUGAAAAAAUGAUGAAUUUUAAUAGUUUCUUCUCAUCAAGGAAGCGGCAAAGCCGUUGGUAAUCAAAGAAUUGGAUGUGGCACCUCCAAAGAAAUAUGAAGUCUGCCUCAAGAUUCUUUUCACCUCCUUGUGGCACACUGAUGUUUACUUCUGGGAAGCUAAGGUA